GGGCCCGUAGCUCAGCCCGGUAGAGCGGCGGGCUUUUAACCCGUAGACCAGACCGCUGGGCGGAAGUCCCGGGUUCAAAUCCCGGCGGGCCCGCCA
rnacentral:tRNA from 1 species